AAAAUACGGGAGGCAGCAGUGGGGGAUAUUGCACAAUGGGCGCAAGCCUGAUGCAGCGACGCCGCGUGGGGGAUGGAGGCUUUCGGGUUGUAAACCCUUUCGGCGCGGGACAAGGCUCCGUUUGGCGGGGUUGAGGGUACGCGUCAAAGAAGCGCCGGCUAACUACGUGCCAGCAGCCGCGGUUAAUUUUU
rnacentral:rRNA from 1 species